GUCCUACGGGAGGCAGCAGUAGGGAAUCUUCCACAAUGGGCGAAAGCCUGAUGGAGCAACGCCGCGUGGGUGAAGAAGGUCUUCGGAUCGUAAAACCCUGAGGUAAGAGAAGAAAGUGCGUGAGAGAAACUGUUCACGUUUCGAAGGUAUCUAACCAGAAAGCCACGGACAACCAAGUGCCAGCAGCCGCGGAAAUACGUAGGUGGCGAGCGUAAGCCGGAUUUAUUGGGCGUAA
rnacentral:rRNA from 1 species